CUUUGUACACGUAUUACAUAGCAAACUAAACAGCAUGAUGACAUUAACAUAAUAAAUGACACCAGUUACACAAACAGAAUAUUCAGUUUCUCAAAUUAAAAUGAUCUAAGUCAGUCAUUGCUCUUCUGGGAAAAUAAUGGUACCUGGUCACAAUGGAGGCAGAACAGCAUUGUUUGGAAGCAUCCGUGGCAAUGUCUUUGGCGUCUUACAUUAUGGACAUUGCAGUUUAUUGCUCUGGCCACAUCUGCAGUCCUGAUGCCUCCCUGCAGCAGACCCAUGGCAUGUUCAUGCAGACAUGAUCGAGACCUUGCAAAUGCCUUGGUGGAAGAGUGGAG
ensembl:lncRNA